CCCAGCAGGACCACUGUCGGUGAUGAACACAUUUCCGGUGCAAACAAAUACGGAAUUCUAUCAAUCAACUUGGCUUGCAUCACUGAAGUUUUUUUCCCGGCCGAAAAGAGGAUAAAAGUAAAUCCACGUAUAGAAUUCACAACAAAUUCUUUACAAAGCAUCUGAGAAAAAGCUUUCUUUAGUUAGAGACUGAACCAUCCAAUUCACGCCCAUGGAUA
rnacentral:sRNA from 2 species